AGAACGAACGCUGGCGGCACGCCUAACACAUGCAAGUCGAGCGCCCAGCAAUGGGAGCGGCGGACGGGUGAGUAACACGUGGGAACAUGCCUUUCGGUACGGAACAACUGCGGGAAACUGCAGCUAAUGCCGUAUACGCCCUUACGGGGAAAGAUUUAUCGCCGAAAGAUUGGCCCGCGUCUGAUUAGCUAGUUGGUGAGGUAACGGCUCACCAAGGCUUCGAUCAGUAGCUGGUUUGAGAGAACGACCAGCCACAUUGGGACUGAGACACGGCCCAAACUCCUACGGGAGGCAGCAGUGGGGAAUCUUGGACAAUGGGGGAAACCCUGAUCCAGCGAUGCCGCGUGAGUGAUGAAGGCCUUCGGGUUGUAAAACUCUUUCGGACGGGGUACGAUAAUGACGGUACCGUAGAAGAAGCUCCGGCUAACUUCGCGCCAGCAGCCGC
rnacentral:rRNA from 1 species